rnacentral:lncRNA from 1 species
AAAAGCAGAAGGGAGAAGACGUAAAAACACUGUAAAAGUUCCAGGAAAAACAAAAAUACAUGGGCCUCUUGACGUGAUUAUCCUCAGGAAGAGCACACUGUGAAAACGCUCUUGCUUUACGGAGAACUCAACGUGCGAAGAGUCAACAUUUUAUAUUCUCUCUGUCCUUGUUGCAAGUAUAUUUUCCACAGUCACGUGCAUCCUCCUUAGUAAACCCUGGGAGCUUGAAGAUUUUUUAAUAUAAAACAACAGUUGAUCCCCAUAAUAAUUGAUGACAGAGUUGAAACCUGACUCCAAUGACCUGGAGCAACCAUAUGGUUUAAGGUCGAGAAAAAUAACCUGUCCUAAUUCUACAGCAUGAGUAUUCCAGAGGGGCCAAAACAGUGGCGUCUUCGCUGGAGUUCAGGACCCCUACAAGCAAUUUGGAAACUGUUGAAUUUACACAACAACCAUCUUUCCGUGAGUUCUUUGGACCUUUGCUGCCAGUCCAGUUGCUGAGUAACUCCUGGAGUCCUUCCAGCAACCACUUCACUGUCCAUGAGGCCUCAUCAUUUUUGGUGCAAUUGGAUAACCAUUAAAUAGAACCAGUGAUAGAUAAGUAAAGGAGUUGCACCAGAAAGAUUUAUCUCCAAAUGCAUAUUCCAAUCAUGAACAACUGGCAGAGGCUUAAAAAGCAUCACCAUGUUUUAUAAACCUCAUUUUAAACAAAAUGAAUUGAAAAUGACCUGACAGAAGAAGAACACAGCAGCUUAAAAU